rnacentral:rRNA from 1 species
AUGCAAGUCGAACGAGCGAGAGAGAGCUUGCUUUCUCGAGCGAGUGGCGAACGGGUGAGUAACGCGUGAGCGACAUGCCCGUUGCCCGGGGACAACCGGUGGAAACGCCGACUAAUCCCCGAUGGGACGGAGGCCCUCAUGGGUCUCUGUUGAAAGUUACGGCGGCGACGGAUUGGCUCGCGUCCGAUUAGCUGGUUGGCGGGGUAACGGCCCACCAAGGCUACGAUCGGUAGGGGUUCUGAGAGGAAGGUCCCCACAAUGGAACUGAGACACGGUCCAUACUCC